GGUUUCGUGGUGUAGUUGGUUAUCACAUCAGUCUAACAUGACGUUAGCUCACUGAAGGUCCUCGGAUCGAGCCCGGGCGAAAUCA
rnacentral:tRNA from 1 species